ACUGUGUUAUCGCUCCAGUCCAUACUAAAAUUGGAACAAUACAGAGAAGAUUAGCAUGUCCCCUGCGCAAGAAUGACACGCAAAGUAAUAAACAAUAAAGAUUA
rnacentral:snRNA from 1 species